rnacentral:rRNA from 1 species
UACGUAGGUGACCAGCGUUGUCCGGAUUUACUGGGCGUAAAGAGCGCGCAGGCGGUCGUUCAAGUCGAGUGUGAAAGCCCCCGGCUCAACUGGGGAGGGUCAUUCGAUACUGAUCGACUCGAAGGCAGGAGAGGGAAGUGGAAUUCCCGGUGUAGUGGUGAAAUGCGUAGAUAUCGGGAGGAACACCAGUGGCGAAGGCGACUUCCUGGCCUGUUCUUGACGCUGAGGCGCGGAAGCUAGGGGAGCAAACGGG